rnacentral:rRNA from 1 species
GACGAACGCUGGCGGCGUGCUUAACACAUGCAAGUCGAACGAAGAGCGAUGGAAGCUUGCUUCUAUCAAUCUUAGUGGCGAACGGGUGAGUAACGCGUAAUCAACCUGCCCUUCAGAGGGGGACAACAGUUGGAAACGACUGCUAAUACCGCAUACGAUCUAAUCUCGGCAUCGAGGAUAGAUGAAAGGUGGCCUCUACAUGUAAGCUAUCACUGAAGGAGGGGAUUGCGUCUGAUUAGCUAGUUGGAGGGGUAACGGCCCACCAAGGCGAUGAUCAGUAGACGGUCUGAGAGGAUGAACGGCCACAGUGGGACUGAGACACGGCCCAGACUCCUACGGGAGGCAGCAGUGGGGAAUCUUCCGCAAUGGACGAAAGUCUGACGGAGCAACGCCGCGUGAGUGAUGACGGCCUUCGGGUUGUAAAGCUCUGUUAAUCGGGACGAAAGGCCUUCUUGCGAAUAGUGAGAAGGAUUGACGGUACCGGAAUAGAAAGCCACGGCUAACUACGUG